rnacentral:lncRNA from 1 species
AAAUCGAAUCCGUCCAGGACGAACUCAAGUCGUCCAGGACGAACUCGUUAACCAUGGUUAGUUUAUGAAAGCCUAUAAAUAUGUGAUUGUGGUUCUCACAAUUUACAUCAUCCUUCGGGAUGAAAUGGCCAAGUGCUCUGCACGGCUACUCCCACUAUACACACACCCUAGCCUAGCUUUGUAAUAGAAAUAUCAGUAGUGGUUAGAGUUUGUAAUAUUGAGAGUAGUGGCCAUUGUAGCCGAACCUUCGGGUUUGGAUUUAUAGCACCUUCGAGGUAUUUAUCAAUAUACAGAUAUACCUUGGAAAAUAUUGUGUGUUGGUUUAAUAUUUUCAUAUCCUCAGAAACCGACCCAAUAAAUAUCCGGAACACGAAACCCAUUACAGGACUGCAAUUUAUUUAUCCGCAAGAUUCGAAAGAAUUUUAAAUUGUAGUGAGUAUCGUAUUCAACCCCCCCUUCUACGAUACUUUGGACCUAACAAUUGGUAUCAGAGCGAGGCUGAUUGAUAUACAAAUCAGGAUCCUUAUCGUACGGAAAAUCAAGAACCUAGCUUUUGAUAUUUGAUUAGGGGAAAUGUUCUUCCGGUUUGUGUUGCUGAAUUUGUCCGUAGGCCUAAGCAAGGAUUAUCUGUCGGAUACUGAACUUUGGACCGGGAC